rnacentral:rRNA from 1 species
UACGGAGGGUGCGAGCGUUGUCCGGAAUCAUUGGGCGUAAAGGGCGCGUAGGUGGCGGGACAAGCGUGCGGUGAAAGCCUGGGGCUCAACCCCGGGUCGGCCGUGCGAACUGUUUUGCUUGAGGACUGUAGAGGCAGGCGGAAUUCCGGGUGUAGCGGUGGAAUGCGUAGAGAUCCGGAGGAACACCGGUGGCGAAGGCGACAUCCUGGACCAACACUGACGCUGAGUGAGCGAAAGCCAGGGGAGCAAACGGG